rfam:Ictidomys tridecemlineatus contig005865, whole genome shotgun sequence.
UGAGAUGUGGCUCAAGUGGUAGUGUGCUUGCCUGGCAUGCAUGAAGCACUGGGUUCAAUCCUCAGCACCACAU